GUCGAUUAUCAGCUCAACGAAACUAUUAUCAGGAAACUCGACAUGAAAAGUCCAAUCAUUUUGGACCCAGCAAAUCCGACGAACAACGUUGGCAUCUUGUACCAGUGGGGGAACAACAAGGAGGUGAUAAAGGCAGCUGCCGAAAAGACCCUCCGGACCACCCUGCUCAGUGACGUCAGUGCGUGGUAAAACGUGUAGGGCGCCCUCAGUAGAAGCAAGGAGUGACAUUUUCAAAAAGUUCUUCGUCGCACAGUAAUGAACUUUAAUCCUAUAAUAAAUAACCGAGUUGAAAUGUAAGCAACACAAUUAACAUGUGAACAUUUCGUGGUCGUGUAUAUUUGAGGUGAUAUUGCCGAAAAUUCGGAGCGAAUAAUAACAAUAAUCUAUACUAUUAAUGACUGCACAUGAAGAAUAAUCCAUACAGAAAUACACAAUCUGAGA